AUUGAACGCUGGCGGCAUGCCUUACACAUGCAAGUCGAACGGCAGCGCGGGGCAACCUGGCGGCGAGUGGCGAACGGGUGAGUAAUAUAUCGGAACAUACCCUAGAGUGGGGAUAACGUAGCGAAAGUUACGCUAAUACCGCAUACGCACUAAGGUGGAAAGUGGGGGAUUCGCAAGAACCUCAUGCUCAUGGAGUGGCCGAUAUCUGAUUAGCUAGUUGGUGAGGUAAAGGCUCACCAAGGCGACGAUCAGUAGCUGGUUUGAGAGAACGACCAGCCACACUGGAACUGAGACACGGUCCAGACUCCUACGGGAGGCAGCAGUGGGGAAUUUUGGACAAUGGGGGCAACCCUGAUCCAGCAAUGCCGCGUGAGUGAAGAAGGCCUUC
rnacentral:rRNA from 1 species